AUUGAACGCUGGCGGCAGGCUUAACACAUGCAAGUCGAGCGGGGGAAGGUAGCUUGCUACUGGACCUAGCGGCGGACGGGUGAGUAAUGCUUAGGAAUCUGCCUAUUAGUGGGGGACAGCAUCUCGAAAGGGAUGCUAAUACCGCAUACGUCCUACGGGAGAAAGCAGGGGAUCUUCGGACCUUGCGCUAAUAGAUGAGCCUAAGUCGGAGUAGCUAGUUGGUGGGAUAAAGGCCUACCAAGGCGACGAUCUGUAACGGGUCUGAGAGGAUGAUCCGCCACACUGGGACUGAGACACGGCCCAGACUCCUACGGGAGGCAGCAGUGGGGAAUAUUGGACAAUGGGGGGAACCCUGAUCCAGCCAUGCCGCGUGUGUGAAGAAGGCCUUAUGGUUGUAAAGCACUUUAAGCGAGGAGGAGGCUACUCUAGUUAAUACCUAGGGAUAGUGGACGUUACUCGCAGAAUAAGCACCGGCUAACUCUGUGCCAGCAGCCGCAGUAA
rnacentral:rRNA from 1 species